AAACCGCAUGCUGGACAACUGGAGAAAACCAACUGUUCCGCGAGGAAAGAGACUAAUUAACCCCUCAAAUACCAGAUCACGUCAUCGAUUGAGGACAUUUUGAAAAUGCGACAGAACUUUUUUUCUUUUUUUCUUCCAACUCCGACCCCUCUUCGACUGGAUUUAAUCUCAGAAACAGGACAGAGAAAUAUAUGAUUCUACUCUUGGACCCCAUGAAAGGAGACUGAGGAGGGCAAUCCUCCAAGAGGAAAUCUGCUGCCAGGUCUUAUCUGAUAACAAGAGAAGCAGCAAGAGUGUGAAAAAAAGACUGAAGAAACAAAAACAAAAAGUCAGUUAGUAUUGCAGUAUUAAACACUAUUUUUUUAUUUAAAAAAAACAGUUUAUACAAGAAAUCCUUUCAUACAUUAGCAUAUUAUCAAAAAGGUUGUGAAUUUUUAAUGUGACAUCUUCUCAUUAAUAAAGAUAAAAGAGCAGAAAAGGAUUCUGCAGGGUUGAA